AGAGUUUGAUCCUGGCUCAGGACGAACGCUGGCGGCAUGCCUAAUACAUGCAAGUCGAACGAGCUGACAGAGUGCUUGCACUCUCGACGCGAGUGGCGGACGGGUGAGUAACACGUGGGAAACCUACCUGUAAGUAGGGGAUAACAUUCGGAAACGGAUGCUAAUACCCUAUAGGUUUCAGUUCCGCAUGGAACUGAAAGGAAAGACGGCUUUGCUGUCGCUUACAGAUGGUCCCGCGGCGCAUUAGCUAGUUGGUGGGAUAAAAGCUCACCAAGGCUGUGAUGCGUAGCCGACCUGAGAGGGUAACCGGCCACACUGGGACUGAGACACGGCCCAGACUCCUACGGGAGGCAGCAGUAGGGAAUCUUCCGCAAUGGACGCAAGUCUGACGGAGCAAUGCCGCGUGAAUGAAGAAGGUCUUCGGAUCGUAAAAUUCUGUUGUUAGAGAAGAAUAAGGAGUAGGUAACUACUACUCCCUUGACGGUAUCUAACCAGAAAGCCACGGCUAACUACGCGCCAGCAGCCGCGGUAAUACGUAGGUGGCAAGCGUUGUCCGGAUUUAUUGGGCGUAAAGGGAGCGCAGGCGGUGACUUAAGUCUGAUGUGAAAGCCCACGGCUCAACCGUGGAAGGUCAUUGGAAACUGGGUCACUUGAAUAUAGAAGAGGAAAGUGGAAUUCCAUGUGUAGCGGUGAAAUGCGUAGAUAUAUGGAGGAACACCAGUGGCGAAGGCGACUUUCUGGUCUAUUAUUGACGCUGAGGCUCGAAAGCAUGGGUAGCAAACAGGAUUAGAUACCCUGGUAGUCC
rnacentral:rRNA from 1 species